rnacentral:rRNA from 1 species
AGUCGAGCGGUAGCACAGGAGAGCUUGCUCUCUGGGUGACGAGCGGCCCACGGGUGAGUAAUGUCUGGGAAACUGCCUGAUGGAGGGGGAUAACUACUGGAAACGGUAGCUAAUACCGCAUGACGUCUUCGGACCAAAGUGGGGGACCUUCGGGCCUCACGCCAUCAGAUGUGCCCAGAUGGGAUUAGCUAGUAGGUGGGGUAAUGGCUCACCUAGGCGACGAUCUCUAGCUGGUCUGAGAGGAUGACCAGCCACACUGGAACUGAGACACGGUCCACACUCCUACGGGAGGCAGCAGUGGGGAAUAUUGCACAAUGGGCGCAAGCCUGAUGCAGCCAUGCCGCGUGUAUGAAGAAGGCCUUCGGGUUGUAAAGUACUUUCAGCGAGGAGGAAGGCAUUGUGGUUAAUAACCACAGUGAUUGACGUUACUCGCAGAAGAAGCACCGGCUAACUCCGUGCCAGCAGCCGCGGUAAUACGGAGGGUGCAAGCGUUAAUCGGAAUUACUGGGCGUAAAGCGCACGCCGGCGGUUGAUUAAGUCAGAUGUGAAAUCCCCGAGCUUAACUUGGGAACUGCAUUUGAAACUGGUCAGCUAGAGUCUUGUAGAGGGGGGUAAAAUUCCAGGUGUAGCGCUGAAAUGCGUAGAGAUUCUGGAGGAAUACCGGUGGGCGAAGGCGG